AUGAUCAGCACGCCAAUGCUACCUAGCAAAUUCUGCCGCCUCAAGUACUUGCAUAUUUCUCUAAUUGGAGAUGAAGCUAUUUCACCAGAUUAUGAUUACCUUUCUCUGGCUUCUUUUCUUGAAGCUUCUCCUUGCCUGGAGACUUUCAUCUUCGAAGUACGGCAACCUGACAUGAAGCAUGAUUCAGUUAUCGGGGACACCUCGUGUCUGAAGCGGCUACCGCAAUACCACCACAACAGCCUAAGGAGUGUGACGAUCGUCGGCUUCUGUUCCGCGAAGAGCUUGGUUGAGCUAACAUGCCACAUUGUGGAGAACGCGUCAUCGCUGGAGCGCCUCACUUUGGACACCACUCAUGGCUGUCACAGUUCUGGAGGGUGUAGCGUCAAUAAAUAUCGAUGCCUCCCUAUGGGGAGGGAUAUCCUCAUGGUCAUGGAGGCUCCCAGGGUGCUUUUGGCUAUCAGAACACACGUCGAGGGGAAGGUUCCGUCAAGAGUCGUGCUAAAAGUCGUGGAGCCUUGCAGUCGGUGCCAUGCUGUUGAACAUUUAGAUGCCUUUUGA
rnacentral:rRNA from 1 species